rnacentral:rRNA from 1 species
AGGAUGAACGCUGGCGGUCUGCUUAACACAUGCAAGUCGAACGGGCGUAGCAAUACGUUAGUGGCGGACGGGUGAGUAACGCGUGAGAAUCUACCUUCAGGACGGAGACAACAGUUGGAAACGACUGCUAGCCCCCGAUGUACCGAAAGGGCAAAUAUUUAUAGCCUGAAGAAGAGCUCGCGUCCGAUUAGCUAGUUGGAGAGGUAAAAGCUCACCAAGGCGACGAUCGGUAGCUGGUCUGAGAGGACGAUCAGCCACACUGGGACUGAGACACGGCCCAGACUCCUACGGGAGGCAGCAGUGGGAAUUUUCCGCAAUGGGCGAAAGCCUGACGGAGCAAGACCGCGUGGGGGAAGAAGGCUCUUGGGUUGUAAACCCCUUUUCUCUGGGAAGAACGCAAUGACGGUACCAGAGGAAUCAGCAUCGGCUAACUCCGUGCCAGCAGCCGC